rnacentral:rRNA from 1 species
UGGGGGAUAUUGCACAAUGGGCGAAAGCCUGAUGCAGCGACGCCGCGUGGGGGAUGAAGGCCUUCGGGUUGUAAACUUCUUUUGCUCUGAACAAGGCAUGCCUUUGGGGUGUGUUGAGUGUAGGGGUUGAUUAGCGCCGGCUAACUACGUGCCAGCAGCCGCGGUAAUACGUAGGGCGCGAGCGUUGUCCGGAAUUAUUGGGCGUAAAGGGCUUGUAGGUGGCUGGUUGCGUCUGUCGUGAAAGCUCAUGGCUUAACUGUGGGUUUGCGGUGGGUACGGGCUGGCUUGAGUGCAGUAGGGGAGGCUGGAAUUCCUGGUGUAGCGGUGGAAUGCGCAGAUAUCAGGAGGAAUACCGGUAGCGAAGGCGGGUCUCUGGGCUGUUACUGACGCUGAGGAGCGAAAGCGUGGGGAGCGAACAGG